rnacentral:sRNA from 1 species
AAAUUCCUGAGGGUACGGAGAUGUUUGUCAUUUGCGAUGAGGCAACCUAUAAAAAAAUUUGAGCUAAAUCUUCGUAAAAAAAUACUCUUUUUUGGUUUAAAAUCUUUAUAGAAGGAUAUAAUAAUCACGCAAGGUUAAAUUGCAAUUUUUUUAAUCGCUAGGAGGCAACAAUUGUGGAACGUGGUAAGGUAAAAUGGUUUAACAGUGAAAAAGGAUUUGGAUUCAUUGAGCGUGAAGGCGGCGAAGACGUAUUCGUACACUUCUCAGCAAUUCAGGGAGAAGGCUACAAAUCUUUAGAUGAAGGUCAAGAAGUUACAUUUGAAGUUGAACAAGGCCAGCGUGGCCCACAAGCGACAAACGUACAGAAAGCCUAACUUAGGAUAGCUAAAACAGACUCGGAAUUUUCUGGGUCUGUUUUU